rnacentral:rRNA from 1 species
AGGAUAAACGCUGGCGGCGUGCCUUACGCAUGCAAGUCGAACGGUCCUUUCGGGGACAGUGGCGGACGGGUGAGUAACACGUGCGUGACCUGACGGUAGGUGGGGGAUACCCGUCCGAAAGGGCGGCUAAUACCGCAUACGCUCGCGGGAGAUGUCGCGCGAGGAAAGGCAGCGAUGCCGCCGAUUGAGGGGCGUGCGGCCGAUUAGCUAGUUGGCGGGGUAAAGGCCCACCAAGGCAGUGAUCGGUAGCUGGGCGUGAGAGGCCGAACAGCCGACGACUGGGACUGAGACACGGCCCAGACUCCUACGGGAGGCAGCAGCGAGGAAUUUUGCGCAAUGGGGGCAACCCUGACGCAGCAACGCCGCGUGGGUGAUGAAGGCUCUCGGGUCGUAAAGCCCUUUUGUCGGGGACGACACCGACGGUACCCGACGAAGAAGCCACGGCUAACUACGCGCCAGCAGCCGC